AUGCAUCAGGGAGCUCAGCUGCAGACAGAAUGCACAUCUCGAAGCAGGAGCCACCACGGGAUUCCUCAGAUGAAAGCCAAUUUCAAUGAACAUUGUGUUUCAGAGCCUACUUCCUCUCGCUCUGUAAGAGCUGCAGGAGGAACAUCCCACUUGCGUCUGCUGACACAAAAGAAUGCUGUGGCUGGGAGAUCUUAUCAAGCCUUCCUGUGCCACAGUAACAGAGCGCCAGUUGUGUCUUGCUUCAAGGGACCCUGUGGAGCAAUCUGUCACUCCUGGCUUAUCUGGGCAACGUGUGAGAAAACCAGAUACAGCAAAACUAUGCAAAGGAGCCACUGUGGGGCUGAAGAAAGUCCCUACUGCUGCACAGAACUCACUAGAAUCGACAUGCCCAGGCAGCCUUUGGUAGCAAGUCGGAGCAGCAUAAUGAAAGGUUUGAGGAGGAACACACCCCACGGCAGCCUCUGCUCAGACACCUGCCAAGACGGUGCGGUUCUCCUGUGA
rnacentral:lncRNA from 1 species